rnacentral:rRNA from 1 species
GAUUAACGCUGGCGGCGUGCCUAACACAUGCAAGUCGAGCGGCAGCGAGUUUUACACUGAAUUCUGGAAGCUUCUAGUUGAAAGAGAGGAUUUAUUCAAGAAUUUUGUGUAAAAUGUCGGCGAGCGGCGGACGGCUGAGUAACGCGUGGGAACGUACCCCAAAGUGAGGGAUAACGCAUCGAAAGGUGUGCUAAUACCGCAUAUGGUCUUCGGAUUAAAGCCUUCGGGCGCUUUGGGAACGGCCUGCGUAAGAUUAGAUAGUUGGUGGGGUAAUGGCCUACCAAGUCGACGAUCUUUAACUGGUUUGAGAGGAUGAUCAGUCAGACUGGAACUGAGACACGGUCCAGACUCCUACGGGAGGCAGCAGUGAGGAAUCUUCCACAAUGGGCGAAAGCCUGAUGGAGCAACGCCGCGUGCAGGAUGAAGGCCUUCGGGUUGUAAACUGCUUUUAUAAGUGAGGAUUAUGACAGUAACUUAUGAAUAAGGAUCGGCUAACUACGUG